rnacentral:rRNA from 1 species
GAUGAACGCUGGCGGCGUGCCUAAUACAUGCAAGUCGAGCGAACAGAUAAGGAGCUUGCUCCUUUGACGUUAGCGGCGGACGGGUGAGUAACACGUGGGUAACCUACCUAUAAGACUGGGAUAACUUCGGGAAACCGGAGCUAAUACCGGAUAACAUUUGGAACCGCAUGGUUCUAAAGUGAAAGAUGGUUUUGCUAUCACUUAUAGAUGGACCCGCGCCGUAUUAGCUAGUUGGUAAGGUAACGGCUUACCAAGGCAACGAUACGUAGCCGACCUGAGAGGGUGAUCGGCCACACUGGAACUGAGACACGGUCCAGACUCCUACGGGAGGCAGCAGUAGGGAAUCUUCCGCAAUGGGCGAAAGCCUGACGGAGCAACGCCGCGUGAGUGAUGAAGGGUUUCGGCUCGUAAAACUCUGUUAUUAGGGAAGAACAAACGUGUAAGUAACCGUGCACGUCUUGACGGUACCUAAUCAGAAAGCCACGGCUAACUACGUG